rnacentral:rRNA from 1 species
CCUACGGGAGGCAGCAGUGGGGAAUAUUGGACAAUGGGCGGAAGCCUGAUCCAGCAACGCCGCGUGAGGGAUGACGGCCUUCGGGUUGUAAACCUCUUUCAGUAGGGACGAAGCGAAAGUGACGGUACCUACAGAAGAAGCACCGGCCAACUACGUGCCAGCAGCCGCGGUAAUACGUAGGGUGCGAGCGUUGUCCGGAAUUAUUGGGCGUAAAGGGCUCGUAGGCGGUUUGUCGCGUCGGGAGUGAAAACCCAGGGCUUAACCCUGGGCUGGCUUUCGAUACGGGCAGACUAGAGGUAUGCAGGGGAGAACGGAAUUCCUGGUGUAGCGGUGAAAUGCGCAGAUAUCAGGAGGAACACCGGUGGCGAAGGCGGUUCUCUGGGCAUUACCUGACGCUGAGGAGCGGAAGUGUGGGGAGCGGAACAGGGAUUAGGAUACCCUGGUAGUCCACACCGUAAACGUUGGGCGCUAGGUGUGGGGUCCAUUCCACGGAUUCCGUGCCGCAGCACGCAUAGCGCCGCCGUCGGAGUACGCGCGAGACGUAACUACAAUAGAUAGACGCGUGAGACGNGCGACGACGACGACGAGGGAGUAGG